rnacentral:tRNA from 1 species
CAAAGUAUAGCUAAAGAGUUUAGUAUUUCAUUUACAUUGAAGUGAGUUAUCGUGCAAAUCGGUUUACUUUGA